GUUGCGUUGAUUAGAUAGUAGCUGGGAGCUUUUAUUUACAUCAAUUUGCAGUGGAACACGUGAAAAUUGCAUGUACUUUGAUAAUUGUUUGGUGAGCUACUCAUAUGUGGGCCACCUGUUGGGGUCCCCUGGUCUAUGGUCUGCUGGGUAACGUGGGCUGUUACGUAUCUUAGGGUCCCCUGGUCUAUGGUCUGCUGGGUAACGUGGGUCCCCUGGUCUAUGGUCUGCUGGGUAACGUGGGCUGUUACGUAUCUUAGGGUCCCCUGGUCUAUGGUCUGCUGGGUAACGUGGGUCCCCUGGUCUAUGGUCUGCUGGGUAACGUGGGUCCCUGGUCUAUGGUCUGCUGGGUAACGUGGGUCCCCUGGUCUAUGGUCUGCUGGGUAACGUGGGUCCCCUGGUCUAUGGUCUGCUGGGUAACGUGGGCUGUUACGUCUCUUAGGGUCCCCUGGUCUAUGGUCUGCUGGGUAACGUGGGCUGUUACGUAUCUUAGGGUCCCCUGGUCUAUGGUCUGCUGGGUAACGUGGGUCCCCUGGUCUAUGGUCUGCUGGGUAACGUGGGCUGUUACGUCUCUUAGGGUCCCCUGGUCUAUGGUCUGCUGGUUAACGUGGGCUGUUACGUCUCUUAGGGUCCCCUGGUCUAUGGUCUGCUGGGUAACGUGGGCUGUUACAUCUCUUAGGGUCCCCUGGUCUAUGGUCUGCUGGGUAACGUGGGCAGUUAGGUCUCUUAGGGUCCCCUGGUCUAUGGUCUGCUGGGUAACGUGGGCUGUUACGUCUCUUAGGGUCCCCUGGUCUAUGGUCUGCUGGGUAACGUGGGCAGUUAGGUCUCUUAGGGUCCCCUGGUCUAUGGUCUGCUGGGUAACGUGGGCAGUUAGGUCUCUUAGGGUCCCCUGGUCUAUGGUCUGCUGGGUAACGUGGGCUGUUACGUCUCUUAGGGUCCCCUGGUCUAUGGUCUGCUGGGUAACGUGGGCAGUUAGGUCUCUUAGGGUCCCCUGGUCUAUGGUCUGCUGGGUAACGUGGGCAGUUAGGUCUCUUAGGGUCCCCUGGUCUAUGGUCUGCUGGGUAACGUGGGCAGUUAGGUCUCUUAGGGUCCCCUGGUCUAUGGUCUGCUGGGUAACGUGGGCUGUUACGUCUCUUAGGGUCCCCUGGUCUAUGGUCUGCUGGGUAACGUGGGCUGUUACGUCUCUUAGGGUCCCCUGGUCUAUGGUCUGCUGGGUAAC